GAAUAAAAACCAGCGCCAGAACCCCCGUGCCGCGUUUGCGGUGUGUGCAGUGCGGGGGUUGACGAGGGGGAGGUUCAUCGAAGGAUUCGGCGGAUGCCUCCCGGCUUGGGGUCACGGCCGAGAACGGCGCCACAAAACCGCGGGGUGACCCGCGGGACAAAAGCGCCCGGUGACCUGAA
rnacentral:ncRNA from 2 species